rnacentral:rRNA from 1 species
UACAGAGGGUGCGAGCGUUGUUCGGAAUUACUGGGCGUAAAGCGCGCGCAGGCGGCCUUUUAAGUCUGACGGUGAAAUGCCGGGGCUCAACCCCGUGCCCGCCGCGGAUACUGGGAGGCUGGAGACGAGUAGAGGCAAGCGGAAUUCCGGGUGUAGCGGUGGAAUGCGUAGAGAUCCGGAAGAACACCGGAGGCGAAGGCGGCUUGCUGGGCUCGGUCUGACGCUGAGGCGCGAAAGCGUGGGGAGCGGAACGAG